UACGAGGGGGCAAGCGUUGUUCGGAAUUAUUGGGCGUAAAGGGUGCGUAGGCGGUCUGAUAAGUCAUCUGUGAAAUCUAUGGGCUCAACCCAUAGUCUGCAGGCGAAACUGUCGGGCUUGAGUAUGGGGAGAGGUGAGUGGAAUUUCCGGUGUAGCGGUGAAAUGCGUAGAUAUCGGAAGGAACACCUGUGGCGAAAGCGGCUCACUGGACCAUUCUGACGCUGAUGGCACGAAAGCUAGGGGAGCAAACAGG
rnacentral:rRNA from 1 species